CCCCACAUCCCUCACCCCAUCCAUGCCUCAAUUCAUCCAGCCAUAAAUUGGGUCUAAUUACACCCACCUCACAGAGAAGACCAGGACUUAGCCACCAGAGCCAGUCCAAGUGAGGUGAAGGCAUCUCUCGAUGGGGGACUACUGUGUUUCAAGCUCUAUCCCAAUCCAUAGAGAAGCAUUAGGUUGACUGGAAAACUUCCCUGGAGGAGCUACAAAAUACAGUUUGGAUCAACAGCCCUAUAGGAAUGGGAAAUUCAGAUGCAGACAGGUGCUGAAGACCAUGUGAAGGCACAGGGAGGAGGUGGCCAUCUGCAAGCCAAGGAGAGAAGCCUCAGAAGAAACCAACCCUGCCAACACCGUGACCUCAGACUCCAGCCCCCAGAACUAGCCAUAGUUUGUCUUCCACAACUGGAGGUUUGAAAAGAAGGAUGAGGACACUGAAUCUCAGAGACGUCAAGUUCUUUCAUCGAGAUUCCAUAGAAUGUUCCCUGUUUCUUCAUCUAUGACAUGGGGAUAAUGUGAGUAUACCUACAUCAGAGGGCUGCGAUGAAGACUAAAUAAGCUCCUGCCAUCAAAAGUUGGAGUCUGUUUCCCCACGCCUUGAAUCUGGGCUGGCUCUAUGAUCCACUUUGGACAACAGAAUUUGGUGGAAGUGAUGCUAUGCCAAUGCUGAGGUGAGGCCUCAAGAGGCCUUGUGGGCUGUGACUCUUUUGGAACGCUGCCUAGCUGUCACGUGAACAAGGCUACUGCAUGAUGAGAGACCAUAUGGAGCCAAAACAUGCCUUUCCAGCUGAGGCCCUCCUAGUCCAGCCAGCCCUAGAUGCACAAGCUGGUGACCAAAGAUACAUGAGUGAGUCCAGAUGAGAAGUCCCUCGUUGAGCCCAGCCCAAUUGCUGAUCCACUGACUUGUGAGAUGGAGAAGCCGCUACGAGGUUUUGAAGGGAGAAAUUUGGAACCUAAAAAUUUUGAAGACUUCAUAGUAAAAGCAAUGAAGUACAAGCAAUAGAUAGACACUCUUAGAGAUCUAGAGACUUGAAAUAGAGAUGUAAGACAAAUCAAUGCUAAGAAUAUGAGAAUGGGGGACUUCUGGUAUGAAAGGGCAUGUAGUUCUUCUUUUACAAAACUUAGACCCCAAGAUUCAGCAAUUCAGCUGGAUGCUAUGUUAUCAGGUAAUAAUAAUUCUGCACCCUUGAGCUUAGUCCUCACAACUUCCCUCAGCUGCUCUUCUGCAACUUCACUGAGACCAAGAAUUAGAUUUCCCUAUUUGUAUGUUUCUUAAUACAAGUUACAUCACUUAAUUCAGAAAAAUAAGGAUCAGGAGAACCAAAGUCAUUUGUGGACUUGCAUGGGUCUCACAAUAAUUGAGUAGCAUUGUGGAAUUCCUACUGAGUUUGUCGAAAUGCAGCCUUGGCCUGACACCAGAGUCCACUACACCAGAGCACAGCUGGGACUGACAGAGGCUUCUGGACCUGUGCUGCCAUUUCCCCUGGCGCUUGGAUUUUCUGUGUCUUGAGGGCAAUGGGCUGUACCAGGAGGCAUCCACAGAUGCCUGCCUUUCUCUAAUAAUUUCUUCUGGGCAAUACCAGAGUAAGGCCGAAGAGUCCUGACUUGAUAGUCCCUGUGAGGUUGCAGUGCAGAGUAGGGGCCCAGCCUUCCCAGGCAUGCCCAGCCCCAGAACCUUCCUGCCUGGCGCUUUUCUUUAGGGAAGUCUCUCAGAUCCUUGGUUAGAAAACCAAGAGUGAGCACAUCUUCCUCUUUCAAGAUAGCUCUUUCCAUUGGUGAAAAGGCCAAGACAAAAGGAAACGCUGAGGUAGAAAGGGCCCUGACAUUUCACACUCAUGUUUCUGGCCCUGCUUUUUUUAGAAAAGUAACUCUUUCCCAUGGUUAGGGGAGAAGUCAGACCUUCCUGUUCCUCUUGAGCAGGGCAUGAAGCAAUUUUCAGCCCUGAUGUUGACACCAGGUCAUACCCCCACACCUUCUCCCUGGGCCAGGCUCUUUGGACUUCUGAGCUCUGGCCUUUCCAAUAGGAAAGUGACCAACUGGCCACAGAAACAAGAUCUGCAUAGCUUUUGCAGAGGAAAAGAAGUAGCAGGGAAUAGAAGCAAGGACUCAGACCCUUGGGCUGCCCAGCUUCGCUUCUCUCCCAGCUCGGCUUCUCUCCCAGCUCCAUUGCUUAUUAUCUGGGAGGAAUCAGACAAGUUACUUAACCUUUCUUAGUCUUGGUCUUCCCACUAGAAAAGUAUGGAGAUAGUGCUAUAUGCACAAGGGGAUUGUUUAUAGGAAUAAAUGAGAAGAUCUACACAGAGAGUUUAGUGUAGGGCUUGGAACAUAGUAAAUAUUCCACAGACAUUAAUUACUCUCAAGAUUAUUGAAGGUUGUAUCUAAAUCCUUAGUUUGAGCAGCCAUUUGAAUACACAGUGUACAGGAGGCAGGAUUGUGCACCUAGAGAGGGAGGACUCUGGAUUCAACGAGAUCUGGGUUCAAAUCCCCACUCCAAUAAUUACCAGUAAGCAGAAUGAACAUGGAAAAGUUAAUUCUCUUCUUUGAGCUUGAUUUCUCACCUUGUGCUUUCCUUGCAUGGUUCUUGUUGAGGGCUGGUGGUGGGGAGAUUAUGUGAAAUCAUGUAUGCCAGACACACAGUGGAUGUGCAAUAAUGGUUCCCAUUAUUACUAAGGAAUCAAGUCAAAUCCAUUCAAAGGAUGGCCUGAACCUUUAUGGGUCUGAUCACCAUUAAACAUGUGAAGGCGGGUUAGUCCGCUGGCAUUUUGUGUGUGGAGUGAAUCAAAAGAAAAAUUAAGGUCAAAAUGGCUUUCUUCAUUUGAUCAUUCACUUUUUCAUACCCCCAGUGCCUGGCACGGUGUCUGGCUUAUUUUAGGUCAUCAAUACAUAUUUGCUAAUUUAAAUAAAGCUUUAUUAAUGCCAACAUAUUUUGUAUGGGCAGGGCUGGCUCCAUGGGCAGCCAUGUUGGCAUGGCUAUGCUUGGGAGGGCCCCAUGACAUCUUCAAAGUCUUAAUAAUUUUUAAAUAAGGGCCCUUCAUUUUUAUUUUGCACUGGGCCCCACAAAUUAUGCAAUAAGUCUUGUGUACAGGCAAAUAAAAUGCAAUGUAAAAAGGCUGAUAUUUUCCUUCUAAAAAUUCUCCAUUGGCUCCUCAUUGCACCUAGAAGAAAUCCAAGCUCCUUAUAUGGCUUACCAGUCCUUAUAUGACUUACAUGGUCUCUGUAGUCACACACACCUUGAUUCCUAAACUCCAGCCACCCAGGCCUGCUCAUUUAACAGUCUGAGCUCUCUACCUGCUCCCCAUUUGGGUCUCAGCUCCUAAAUCACUUCCAUAGCAAGAUCCCUCCCUGACCAUCCUCCUAGCCACUCUGUCUUUUUAAAAAAUUUAUUUUAUA
rnacentral:lncRNA from 1 species